rnacentral:rRNA from 1 species
AGCGAAGCGAGUCCGAAUAGGGCGCUUAGUUGUCAGCAAUAGACCCGAAGGGGUGGUGAUCUAACCAUGGCCAGGAUGAAACUUCAGUAACAUGAAGUGGAGGUCCGAACCGGUCAAUCUUGAGAAAUUGUCGGAUGAGCUGUGGUUAGGAGCGAAAGACUAAUCAAACCCCCUGAUAGCUGGUUCUUUCCGAAAUAUAUUUGGGUAUAGCCUCGGGCGCUGAUUUGCGGAGGUAGAGCACUAAAUAAGCUAGGGCCCCUACCGGGGUACUGAACUUAAUUAAACUCCGAAUACCGCAGAGUGAAGCCCGGGAGUCAGACUGUGGGGGAUAACCUUCAUAGUCAAAAGGAGAAUAAUCCAAACCAUCAGUUAAGGUCCCAAAAUACGGCUCAGUGUUAAAGGAUGUGAUUUUGCUUAGACAAUGGGGAUGUUGGCUUAGAGGCAGCCAUCAUUUAAACAGUGCGUAACAGCUGACCCAUCGAGCGAAAUUGCGCCGAAAAUGAUCGGGACUUAAGCCGUAUACCGAAGCUAUGGCUGACAUCGCAAGAUGUCGGGGUAGGAAAGCGUUCCAAAUGCAGCGAAGUGGAAGGGGUAACCGACCAUGGAGCAUUUGGAAGUGAGAGUGCAGACAUAAGUAACGAUAAAGAUGGUUAAAAUCCAUCUCGCCUCAAUUCCGAGGAUUCCUGGGGAAGGUUCGUCCUCCCAGGGUUAGUCGGGAGCUAAGACGAGGCCGUAAGGAGUAGUCGAUGCACAGCUGGUUCAAUAUUCCAGCACCACCUUGUUAGAGUUCGAUGCCAAGGAGUGACGGAGAAAGUUAACACGAGCGGGGCGCUGAUUUCCGUUCAAGUCCGUAGGUUAUUCGGGAGUAAAAUACCGGAUCUAUCUGAAAGACGAUGAAGAGCUGAGGCUACGGCCGAAGCGAUUCGUGUGAUACUCGGCUUCCAGGAAAAGCUUCGUGGCUAUUUGAUAGGGUGCCCGUACCGUAAACCGACACAGGUGGAAUAGAUGAGUAUUCUAAGGCGCGUGGGUUAAAUCUCUCUAAGGAACUCGGCAAACUGACCCCGUAUGUUAGCUAUAAGGGGUGCCUCGCAAGAGGCCACAGAUAAGAGUGUCAACCGACUGUUUAGCAAAAACACAGCUCUCUGCUAAGUCGCAAGACGACGUAUAGGGAGUGACUUGUGACCAAUGCGGAAAGGUGAAAGCCUGGGGUGCAAGCUCCGGGUCUAAGCCCCCGUGAAUGUCGGCCGUAACUAUAACGGUCCUAAGGUAGCGAAAUUCCUUGUCGGGUAAGUUCCGACCCGCACGAAUCAAGUAACGAGUUGACAACUGUCUCGGAGAGAGGCCCAGUGAAAUUGUAGUGGCGGUGAAGAUGCCGCCUACCCGCAGCAGGACGGAAAGACCCUAUGCACCUUUACUGUAAGCUGUUAUCAAAG